GCCUCUGUAGCUCAGUUGGUUAGAGCUCUGCACUGGAAUCACAGGGCAGCAGGUUCGAUUCCUGGCUAUAGGUC